AUGUGGCGCUGGAUGGUUCAAAACGGCGAGUGGUUAUGGUGCAGCUCAUAUUCGAUUGUUGUUCCAAAGUUUGUUUAUAUUCUCCCUACAGUAAAACCAACAACUUUAUCUCGUAUCAAAAUCGUGUGCAAGAAAUCAACGGUAAUGGUAUGUGGAACUAGAAGCACGACGAUCAGAGAAAAAAAUAAAAAUACAGUGGUAGUUAAAAUUGUGGAUUUUGUGGAACUCGAAGCACAGUGA